CUCUACUCUCUCCUUCUAUCUCUCCCCUCCCUCUCUCCUUCAGUCCCUGCAUGCUGCUCGUUGAGGUCAGUGUGUACGACUGGGACUCUGAGACCCAGGGCUAGAUCCUGGGCUCCUUCUUCUACGGCUACAUCCUGACUCAGAUCCCAGGGGGCUACCUGGCAAGCAAGUAUGGGGCCAAAUGGCUGCUGGGCCUAGGAAUCCUGGGAACUGUAAUCUUCACCCUCCUCACCCCCAUGGCUGCCGACCUGGGUGCAGGUUACCUCAUCGUUGUCAGAGUGCUGGAGGGCAUCGGAGAGGGAGUAACGUUUCCCGCCAUGCAGCCCCCCCCCAAAAAAAUAAAUAAAUGAAAUAAUAAUUUAGGAUUUUUGGGGUGGGACCGCUAACUUCCAACAAUUCUCCAAAUGUUACCAUGGGUCAAAGAGAAAAAUGUUCUG